rnacentral:pre_miRNA from 1 species
CCAUUCCCCACUCCAGCUAUGUCAGAUAUAGACUCCUAGACUGGCUGGGAGGAGGAAGGUUG